UACGUAGGGUGCGAGCGUUAAUCGGAAUUACUGGGCGUAAAGCGUGCGCAGGCGGUUCGUUAAGUCAGAUGUGAAAGCCCCGGGCUCAACCUGGGAACUGCAUUUGAAACUGGCGGGCUUGAGUAUGGCAGAGGGGGGUGGAAUUCCGCGUGUAGCAGUGAAAUGCGUAGAGAUGCGGAGGAACACCGAUGGCGAAGGCAAUCCCCUGGGCCUGCACUGACGCUCAUGCACGAAAGCGUGGGGAGCAAACAGG
rnacentral:rRNA from 1 species